rnacentral:rRNA from 1 species
UACGUAGGGCGCAAGCGUUUGUCCGGAAUCAUUGGGCGUAAAGAGCUCGUAGGUGGUCUGUUACGUCUGCUGUGAAAACCUAGGGCUUAACCCUGGGCCUGCAGUGGAUACGGGCAGACUAGAGGUAGGUAGGGGAGAAUGGAAUUCCCGGUGUAGCGGUGAAAUGCGCAGAUAUCGGGAGGAACACCGGUGGCGAAGGCGGCGCUCUGGAACGUUUCUGACGCUGAGGCUCGAAAGCGUGGGGAGCAACAGG